rnacentral:rRNA from 1 species
AUUGAACGCUGGCGGCAUGCUUUACACAUGCAAGUCGAACGGUAACAGGCCGCCAGGUGCUGCCGAGUGGCGAACGGGUGAGUAAUGCAUCGGAACGUGCCCAGUCGUGGGGGAUAACUACUCGAAAGAGUAGCUAAUACCGCAUACGAUCUAUGGAUGAAAGCGGGGGACCGUAAGGCCUCGCGCGAUUGGAGCGGCCGAUGUCAGAUUAGGUAGUUGGUGGGGUAAAGGCUCACCAAGCCAACGAUCUGUAGCUGGUCUGAGAGGACGACCAGCCACACUGGGACUGAGACACGGCCCAGACUCCUACGGGAGGCAGCAGUGGGGAAUUUUGGACAAUGGGCGCAAGCCUGAUCCAGCAAUGCCGCGUGCAGGAAGAAGGCCUUCGGGUUGUAAACUGCUUUUGUACGGAACGAAACGGCUCUGGUUAAUACCCGGGGCUAAUGACGGUACCGUAAGAAUAAGCACCGGCUAACUACGUG